rnacentral:rRNA from 1 species
CCUACGGGUGGCAGCAGUCGAGAAUCAUUCACAAUGGGGGAAACCCUGAUGGUGCGACGCCGCGUGGGGGAAUGAAGGUCUUCGGAUUGUAAACCCCUGUCAUGUGGGAGCAAAUUAAAAAGAUAGUACCACAAGAGGAAGAGACGGCUAACUCUGUGCCAGCAGCCGCGGUAAUACAGAGGUCUCAAGCGUUGUUCGGAAUCACUGGGCGUAAGGCGUGCGUAGGCUGUUUCGUAAGUCGUGUGUGAAAGGCGCGGGCUCAAGCCGCGGACGGCACAUGAUACUGCGAGACUAGAGUAAUGGAGGGGGAACCGGAAUUCUCGGUGUAGCAGUGAAAUGCGUAGAUAUCGAGAGGAACACUCGUGGCGAAGGCGGGUUCCUGGACAUUAACUGACGCUGAGGCACGAAGGCCAGGGGAGCGAAAGGGAUUAGAUACCCCAGUAGUC